GACGAACGCUGGCGGCGUGCUUAACACAUGCAAGUCGAACGGAAAGGCCCUGCUUUUGUGGGGUGCUCGAGUGGCGAACGGGUGAGUAACACGUGAGUAACCUGCCCUUGACUUUGGGAUAACUUCAGGAAACUGGGGCUAAUACCGGAUAGGAGCUCCUGCUGCAUGGUGGGGGUUGGAAAGUUUCGGCGGUUGGGGAUGGACUCGCGGCUUAUCAGCUUGUUGGUGGGGUAGUGGCUUACCAAGGCUUUGACGGGUAGCCGGCCUGAGAGGGUGACCGGCCACAUUGGGACUGAGAUACGGCCCAGACUGCUACGGGAGGCAGCAGUGGGGAAUAUGGCACAAUGGGCGGAAGCCUGAUGCAGCAACGCCGCGUGCGGGAUGACGGCCUUCGGGUUGUAAACCGCUUUCGCCUGUGACGAAGCGUGAGUGACGGUAAUGGGUAAAGAAGCACCGGCUAACUACGUG
rnacentral:rRNA from 1 species